AUUGAACGCUGGCGGCAGGCCUAACACAUGCAAGUCGAGCGGUAGAGAGGUGCUUGCAUCUCUUGAGAGCGGCGGACGGGUGAGUAAUGCCUAGGAAUCUGCCCUAGUGGUGGGGGAUAACGUUCGGAAACGGACGCUAAUACCGCAUACGUCCUACGGGAGAAAGCGGGGGAUCUUCGGACCUCGCGCCAUUAGAUGAGCCUAGGUCGGAUUAGCUAGUUGGUGAGGUAAUGGCUCACCAAGGCGACGAUCCGUAACUGGUCUGAGAGGAUGAUCAGUCACACUGGAACUGAGACACGGUCCAGACUCCUACGGGAGGCAGCAGUGAGGAAUAUUGGACAAUGGGCGAAAGCCUGAUCCAGCCAUGCCGCGUGUGUGAAGAAGGUCUUCGGAUUGUAAAGCACUUUAAGUUGGGAGGAAGGGUAGUAGCCUAAUACGUUGCUACUUUGACGUUACCGACAGAAUAAGCACCGGCUAACUUCGUGCCAG
rnacentral:rRNA from 1 species